rnacentral:lncRNA from 1 species
CAAUGGUUUCCAAACAUGGAAGAACCCCUAAAUUCUAGGGUUUCCACCAUCAAUCGAGUGCAGAGAUUCGAGGACAAGUAAUUAAGUCAAAAUAGUUUCAGAGGGUAUCAUAAAAGAACUAAAACCUUUAACAUGUUCCUUUGUCAAAAGAAACUCAUGAGAAAACUGGUAGAAGAGCUCAAAGAAAAUAUAGUAGAAGAAACUAAUAUGCAACAUAGUAGAAGAAAACUAAUCAGAACACAAU